rnacentral:rRNA from 1 species
UACAGAGGUCCCGAGCGUUGUUCGGAUUUACUGGGCGUAAAGGGUGCGUAGGCGGUGGGGUAAGUUUGAGGUGAAAGCUCCGGGCUCAACCCGGAAAAUGCCUUGAAAACUAUCCGGCUAGAGGGUUGGAGGGGAGACUGGAAUUCUCGGUGUAGCAGUGAGAUGCGUAGAUCUCGAGAGGAACACCAGUGGCGAAGGCGGCACUCUGGGCCGGUACUGACGCUGAGGAGCGAAAGCGUGGGGAGCGAACAGG